rnacentral:rRNA from 1 species
UCUGUCUACUUAAUCUAUAUAAACUCAAUUUAUUUUAAAAUGAAUGUAAUGGAUGUAACACAUCUAAUACUAAGUUUCAACAACGGAUCUCUU